UACGAAGGGGGCUAGCGUUGCUCGGAAUCACUGGGCGUAAAGCGCACGUAGGCGGAUUGCUAAGUCAGGGGUGAAAUCCUGGAGCUCAACUCCAGAACUGCCCUUGAUACUGGCGGUCUCGAGUCCGGGAGAGGUGAGUGGAACUGCGAGUGUAGAGGUGAAAUUCGUAGAUAUUCGCAAGAACGACCAGUGGCGAAGGCGGCUCACUGGCCCGGUACUGACGCUGAGGUGCGAAAGCGUGGGGAGCAAACAGG
rnacentral:rRNA from 1 species